rnacentral:sRNA from 1 species
AUUCAACAACAGGGAGGGUCUAUUGUUAAUGUAGGAAGCAUUGUUGGCUUAAAAGGCAACUCUGGCCAGUCCGUUUACAGUGCCAGUAAAGGAGGAUUAGUUGGAUUUUCACGUGCUCUUGCUAAAGAGGUAGCAAGAAAGAAAAUUAGAGUGAAUGUAGUUGCACCAGAACUCAUCCCAAGAACAGUAUCCAUAAGGAAGAUGGAAAAGGGGGACAGAAUAAAUGUUACCCUAAGAAGUCCAGAGCAACAUGGUACCUGAUUAGCUGUUUCCUCUUCCGGCUCCUGAAUAUUAAAGACAGUUGCACUGUCAGCACCUAGCAGUCGACGAGCCAUUCUUUCUUCGUAUGUUAACCUCUAAACAACGCAUGAUCUUAUCUCUUGAUUGUGGCCACCCAUAAAGAAAAGCAUAUCUCUAAUCUCAGAAGCACAAGGAGUUCAUGCCAGGAAACCAAGAUUAGUAAGUAUUUUUGUGGUGAAUACCUUUUGAAUAAGACAGGAUUAAUGUAACAGUUAAAAGUAUAGAAAUAUAAAAGUUACGAACUUA